AUUGAACGCUAGCGGGAUGCUUUACACAUGCAAGUCGAACGGCAGCGCGGACUUCGGUCUGGCGGCGAGUGGCGAACGGGUGAGUAAUGUAUCGGAACGUGCCCAGUAGCGGGGGAUAACUACGCGAAAGCGUAGCUAAUACCGCAUACGCCCUACGGGGGAAAGCAGGGGAUCGUAAGACCUUGCACUAUUGGAGCGGCCGAUAUCGGAUUAGCUAGUUGGUGAGGUAACGGCUCACCAAGUCGACGAUCCGUAGCUGGUUUGAGAGGACGACCAGCCACACUGGGACUGAGACACGGCCCAGACUCCUACGGGAGGCAGCAGUGGGGAAUUUUGGACAAUGGGGGCAACCCUGAUCCAGCCAUCCCGCGUGUGCGAUGAAGGCCUUCGGGUUGUAAAGCACUUUUGGCAGGAAAGAAACGUCGCGGGCUAAUACCCCGUGGAACUGACGGUACCUGCAGAAUAAGCACCGGCUAACUACGUG
rnacentral:rRNA from 1 species